UGUCGGAGGCUUGGAGAAAAGGAGCCCUUGGAGGCAAAUCCUAUAGAAGUGAGAGCUGACUGAAGUAGGAACGAAGGAUGCAUCAGGGGAAACGUCAGAGGCACAAGGCCAGUGUAGAGAACACUGGAGCUGUGGUCAGGAAAUGUGCUACCUGUCCAGGCUUGGCCACACACUGGGGGACUCCAGGUUAUGUUCUAGGUCCUGGGAAAACAACGGUGUGGUAAGAUACAGCCCUGCCUGAAGGAGCAAACGAGAUACUGUUUUCCACAAUGGCUGCACCAACUUACAUUCCCACCAACA